rnacentral:rRNA from 1 species
GAUGAACGCUGGCGGCGUGCCUAAUACAUGCAAGUCGAGCGAACAGACGAUGAUCUUGCUCCUCUGACGUUAGCGGCGGACGUGUGAGUAACACGUGGAUAACCUACCUAUAAUACUGGUAUAACUUCGGAAAACCGGAGCUAAUACCGUAUAAUAUAUUGAACCACAUUGUUCAAUAGUGAAAUACGGUUUUGCUGUCACUUAUAGAUGGAUCCGCGCCGCAUUAGCUAGUUGGUAAGUUAACGGCUUACCAAGGCAACGAUGCGUAGCCGACCUGAGAGGGUGAUAGGCCACACUGGAACGUGGACACGGUCCAGACUCCUACGGGAGGCAGCAGUAGGGAAUCUGCGGCAAUAGGCGAAAGCCUGACGGAGCAACGGCGAGUGAGUGAUGAAGGUCUUCGGAUCGUAAAAACCGGUUAUUAGGGAAGAACCAAUGUGUAAGUAAAUAUGGACGGAUUGACGGUAAUUAAUAAGAAAGCAACGGCUAACUACGUG